GCAGGGGCAUGAGCGCUCCGUGCUCCCCAGAAGCCUCAGACCCAUUCAGCCUCCUUUUCUUAGAGGGCAAGUGGGGCCGGUGGUUUUCCACUGUUAUUUUUAGCUCUGCCCCCACUGUAUUGUUUCGGAUCCAGAGAACGGAGCCUCCGAGGUCCUGCGAGUGUCCAGCCAGUGUCCGGGGGGUAUAACCUUAGCGGGCUUGCAUAGGAGCAGUGAUGACAAGGCUACCGGAACCUGAGCUCCCCGACCCCCACCCCACCCCCACGGAGACUCGGAUCCACUGCGAGUGACUCAACAGAAGCGGCCCUGCCCCCAUCCCGUCCAACUGGCGUCCACAGGUGGGGAGAGAACAGCGCUCCCAGAAGCCGGAUGAAAGGAGUCGCUCCGGGUCACGAGCUUGGCAUUUCCCAGCUCCGCCUCCGUGUCCACUCACCUCCAAGGUCAGCCUCUGCAGAGCCACACAACCCGCGGGAGGGACCCCUCCAGGCCCCAGGGGGCUGGCAAGGAGGACUGGGAUGGGACAGCAGCCACCGUGUGGUACAGAAGUGAAUCCUGUGGCCCCCACCUGUCUGGGAGCGAGUCUGGGCUCUGCCGGUGUGAUGCUGGGUGAGAAAACAGGCCCAGAGAAGGUGGGUCCUUGCCCAGGCUCACACAGCUACGGAGCAGUAGAAGCUGGCAUUUGAAACUGAGCCCCAAGACAGAUUCGUGUUGGCAGAUGUAUAAACUGAAUACUGACCCUCCAGAGAGAUCCACGCCCUAAUCCCGGGAACCCCUGUGAAUGUCACCUCCCGAUGGCAAAGGGAUUCUGCAGAUGGGAAGAAGUGAAGGAUCUUGAGAUGGGAACAUUAUCCCCGAUUAUCCAGCUAUAAGUCCCGGGAUCUUCCAGCUCAACCAGCCCAUUUUACUGACGACGUGGAGCCUGAGGCCACAGUUAGGGGUCAACUUGCCCCGUCCCGCCGAGAUGAGUGGCGGGAGGGCGCUGUCUCCUGGCACAUCCUGGGGGUCCUUGCUCUGCUCUUCUGGACUCCAGCCCUGGGCAGCCUGGGCGAAAUCAUCUAGUCCAAACCCAUUUUCCGAGUGAGGAAACUGAGGCCUGGAGUUGUCCGAGAGUUGGACUCGAGUCCCUAAGUGACAGGGGAUGUGCAGGCCCUGAAUCCCCAGGGAGUCCUCUCGGCAAGGCCCUCCCCUCCCCCUCUGGAGCGCCGCUCCUCCCCGUGUAUCCCCAGCAGACAGGGGCCAGCGGGGUCUGGGAAAACCACAUCAGGAGCGGCCCAGCUGUGGUGCAGGAAUUCGAGAGCAGCUCCUUAGUGGCCUUCAGCCUGGGAAAGCUCUGAGGCCUUCCUGUCCCCGCCCGCCUUGCCGCUUAGGGCCAGCCCUGUCCCCAAGGCUGUGAGAAGUCGCCUGGAGGCAGUGUCCAGUGGGGUGGAGGAAAGAGCGGCCUAGAAUGGAGGGACUUGAUCCCCGAUCCUAAGCCAGUUAGUGGCAUUAUCCUGGAUUAUCCUAAACCGAGCUCAGGGCCCUGGGCUUGUCUAGGGGAGCAUAGGUCUCCCUGCCCCCGGCAUGUGGGGGUUCCAGUGGUGCCCUAACACCCAGCGACACAGGCACAGUUCUUACAUAAAGCAUUCACACCCACUGGCACCCUCAGACCUCACAACAACCCUGUAACGGCGAGGCUGCUGCUGUCCCAUUUUACAGAUGGAGAAACUGAGGCUCGGAGAGAGAAAGGGACUCUCCCCAAGUCAAGGUCCUGUGGUGGCAGCACUGGGACUCUGCUAACUCCGACAUAAUAAUAGUAUCCACCUCAUUGGGGCGCCUGCGGAAUCACCGAGUGCGUGAGCCCCGCGCCUGGCACGCGGUGAGCGCUCCAUCUUCGCUGAGCCUCAUCACCAUCACACUAGCCGAUUGGAUAACCGCAAAUACUACUGCGCGGGGCCAGGAGCCCAGCACAACACGCCCUGCCCCCGGGGCUGGGGGAAGACGCCAAUAAACACA
rnacentral:lncRNA from 1 species